AUGAUGAAUUUGAGAUACAUUUUGCAGGAAGAAUUCAUGAGACUAAGAAAGGAAGAGGAACAUGAACAUGGUGUCAGUGUUUCCAAUGUGGCUGACUGGGUUCAUAGCAAUGUUUUUGCUCAAGCUAAGGAACAUGAAGAAGAGUCCAGUUGGUGGGUGUUGAGUUGCAUGUGUCCAGGGAACACUCAGAAAGUCCCCUCUGCUGGGAGAAGGUCACGGUCCAAGAUGACAGGUAAACCCAAGGUCAGAAGCCCGGGGCUCUCGAGGAUGCCAACUGGCUGCACCGUAUCGGCCAUAGCCCACUUUGUAGCCUGAAAGCCAGAGAAAGGAAGACUUUAGAAAGAAGAUAGGAGAAGUUGCAAAAAAGGAGAAGUAAAGAUGUACAAAAGGUACUUCCUGGAUUCUGUCAGCUGUCAGUUGGUGGUUUCACUUCCUUCCAGAACUCCAGUUUAAUUCCUGACUUUUAAUUCUGUGAAGACCCUCAAUCACUA
rnacentral:lncRNA from 1 species